ensembl:lncRNA
UUUUUUUUUUUUUUUUAGUAGAGAUAAUAUUUCAUCCUGUUGCCCAGGCUGGUCUUGAACUCCUAGGCUUAAGCAAUCUGCCUACCUCUGCCUCCCAAAGUGCUGAGAUUACAGGCGUGAGCCACCAUGGCUGGCCUAAACUAAUUUUUAGAUAGUUCCUGGUCACUCAAAUUUAAGAAUGUCAGCAAUGUCAAUUUUAAAUGCUCAUAGGUGUUUCCUUAUCUAUAACAUGAAAAUGAUUAUUCUGCAUUUUAUCCAAUAGUCCAAAUUAAAGAAAAUAUUUUUCUCAAUUUAAAAUAAUUUCUUUUUCUUUUGUUUAUGCAAGUGCAUACAUGCUUCACUGAAAGCAAAACCAUUAUAAUUACAUUAAAGUUUAUAAAAUAAGAUAUUCUAACCUCAUAUCUAAUAAGUAUGUACAAAGGUAACUAUCACUCCUUAAAUUCACAUGAAAACUACUGUAACUGAUCAUGUAUUUUGGAAUUAGACUUGAUAAUAAAAGAUUAUCAUGUAUCACAUAUCUCACACCAGGGGAACAUUUAGCUACAUAAUUGUCCCACUUUAAUAUCUUUUAAAGGUAAUAGUAAUUUUUGACACAUUUUAUUUUAAAAUAUUAUUUAAACAAAAGUUACAUUCCUCUCCACAAUGAGGCUAAAUGUCACUUAGGAAAGAACUUUAUUCCCUUAUAUUCCUGAAAAGGAAUCAGAAUUAACAUUUUUAUGUUGAAUAAAUUUUAAAAUCUAGGAAACAUUCUAUUUAACUUUUUUCAUAAAGCCAUUACUCUUUACAUUGUCAUUUCCAAAAAGCUACAAUUUCCCAUGUUGGAUGUGAUUAAAGUUAGGCACACCUUUACUACAUUAGCAGCCUUUGACAAUGACUUCCUCAAACUGACACCAUCUUAAUUAGAUGCAGGGACAGGGAUCGGAUGGUAUGAUAUCAAAUUUACUUUCUGUCCUACAAGUUAAAAACUGUACCCAUUCUGUAAAUUGAAAAUAGAGGUUCUCCCUUGGCCACUGUCAGUUUUUCCUGACUGGUCAAAACUGCCCAUUCUUCUUGGAAUGGUAUGGAAGCUUCAGCAAAAGACGUAAAAGUCAGAAUCUUUGAUGGUUCCUUGAAUGCUCAUUUGGUAGUAAAUCAAUUUCAGCUGAGACAUAAGGCCUGCCAGAACAUCAUAUAAACAUCUUUAUAGCCUAGAGAAAAGAAGGUUGAAGAGCAAAGCAGAUUUUUUUUUUUCCUUUUCUAUAUCUUGUUCUGAACAACACACUGUGAUAAAGGGGACUAGAGUGGAAGAUUCCCUAUUUAAACACAUGAAGCUCUGGAUCCUAGCCUUUUUUGGUUAUAAACCCUUUGAGAAUCUGAUAAAAGCUAUGGAUCAUCUCCUAGGAAAAUCGAACAAAACAUAUACAUUCACGUUACACAGUUUCAGAAUAUAUGGACCCCCCAAAGACCAUGGAUUGCCCUAGGAGAUCCUUAGAUUCUUGUUUAGAACUGUUGAUUUUGAACACAACAUACAGUGUCAAAGUUUACAUCAGUGAUCCACCAUAACUCAGACAUAGCCCAGGUGGCCUGUUUCUAACACAACUGUCAUAAUUCUGAAAUCCAAAAUUGCACUGUGUUUGACAGGAGUUAGUUUAAUUUCCACAAAAUCCAAAUUUACCGUAUUAUUGUUUUUUAAAAAGCAGUUUAGAGCAAACUAGUCGCUAAACUCGGGUGAAUGGGACAGAAAGUACAGAUUUAAUAAAGUCGUACCUCUAAUGUUCAGAAUUUGGUUGUCUAUUUGUUCAAAGCUGUAGUUCACUCCUAUUUUUGCUGUUAAAUUUAUUUACCUAUUUCUAGAAAAGGAAAAUAAUUAAACCAUAGAUAUUCCUGAAAUGCUGUACCUGUAUCAACUAUGAAUCUGAUCAGCUAAGUCUCCGGAAAAAGAGAAUCAAAAGGAUAAAGGUUUAACACUUUUCUGUUUCUUUAGAGAAAGUUUUCAAAGCCAGAGGUGGUGUAGUAGUUGACUUUAUCUCUAGCUGAGAUGCUUUAGAGAAUUCUGAUUUUUAUCAUGCCAUGCCUUUCUUUUUAUCCAAAGGACAAAAGAAGCUGGACUAAGAAUAUUUUUAUACUAUAUUCGAAGGUAAACAUUAGUUAAGAUGUUAUCUCUUAUAUAUUAUUGAUUUUUUUGUUGGUUUGCCUUACAGAAAUGCAAAUAUCAAGAUUUCUUCUAUAGUGUCCAUCCUUAAAGGUAACAUUAAGAUUGUUUUUAGCCAAGGCUCUAGGAAAAUGAAAAUCCUUCUCCUUAUAACAGUGGUUCUCCAUUUUGACUGCACAUUAGAAAUACCCAAGGAACCUUAAAAAACCCUAAAUAUCCAGAUUGUACCCAAACCAAUUAAAUCAGACUCUGGGAGUGGAGCGCAGGCAUCAGUAUUUUCUAAAGCUCCCCAGGCAGUUCUAACACGCGGAAGACUGAUAACCACCGCUCGCUCCAGAAGUACUGGCUCAGAGGUCUAUGCCUAACCACUGGGAACUAUUACUCCACUUGACCUUGACCUCAAACUCAAAUGUGGAGCUCUUCUGAGCUGGGUAGAAGCACAUUUUUUUGCUUGGAUAAGAGGUCUCUCCUGGAAGCCAGGACUAAAGCAGGGCAAGUACACACACAUGUGCAUACAUGCACAAACACCCCUCAUCUGAGCAGGAGAGCCAGGUUCUGCCCCAGGGUCCAAGCUCUCUUUCUCAAAUAUGAUAGAUAACUAUCUGCACCAGAAUCGUAUCGGUUACUAUUUAAAAAUACAACUUCCUAGGCUGCACCUUAGACCUUGCAACCAAAUUCCAGGAGAGGGUCUGGAUUAUGUACCACUUCACCAGGUGUUUCUGAUCAUACUUCAAUUUGAGAUCUUCUGGGUGAAAGCUACCUAACACAUCCUUUACUGGGCAGCAGAGCCCUGGCUUCUACAGAGAGAGCACAGAAAGGAAUAAGGGAGUGUGUGAAAGGUUGCCUCUCCGCCCCUCCUGGAAGCUAGAGAGAAGAAGGGGCAAAAAGAUGUGUUGCAUUUACCUCUCAAAUGAGCAGCACCCGCUCUUUGAUCACUUUGGCCCCAACAUUUGGUAUUACUUUUAAUCUCUUUCCUAGAAACCAUAAAAAUAUCUAUCAGCUCGUGGUUAAAGUCACAUUUUAAUAUCUAACUAAGUCCCGGUAACACUUUCCUCCUUGGAGCAAAGUAGGUGGUCAAAAAGGCAAGCAGAAGCUUCUUUUGAGAGCUAUUGAUUCUCUAGUGUUGUUGCUUCCCAAGCAAAAAUCCCAGAUUGCCACCUAUUUAUAGGCACUUCCCAAUUCUAGCCCCAACUGGGCUUCACAUGUCCAUUUGUAAGUCAGUUCAACUGUGAGGAUAAUACAUUUUUCUGUAGGAUCAAGGUCAUAAAUGGUGGUAAGUUUCCCAGACCAGCCUAUACAGGCCAUAGAGUGCCUAAAACAUUGACAGUGGGACAUAAUGCAGUUCUGGGUUGUGAGUGGGCAGAGGAAGGCAGCACAAGGAGCAGCUGUGAGUUUAGGGCAUCAUAUGGAAACACCUCCCUGGAGAGUGUUUCUCAGUUUCAGACUGGUUCUCCAGACACUCCCUUUAUUUUCGCUUUGUCCCCUCACAGAUUAGCUUGCCAGUGCCCCACCUACUCCCAUGACCUAUUGCCUUUUCUGAUCAUGGCUGCUUCUACUUUUGACUUGCUAAGGAGAGAUGAUUUUUUUUUUUUUCCUGUGUUUCCUACAAAACUUUGGAAGUGUCUGAGUUAGUAUCACUAGAAACAGGAACAUUCAGGUGACCUGAAAAAGGCAGCCACUAAGCCUCUUCUCAGAGCCUAUUUUCACUAGGGCCUGUGGGGAAAGACAUGAGCAUACAAGGCAAAACUGUGUGGGACAGGCCAGCCAUGGAGCCUGACCCAGUCACCCAGACCUCUGAGGUUCUUGCUUGGCUGUUGUUGGCUUCACGUGAUGUUGCCCUGUCCUGAUCACAGCUAGCUACUCCAUAGGCCAGCCAGUGAUUCUGGGUAUUUUGGCUCAAAACCACAAACUGGAUCAAUCAGUCUGUCCUCUCAGGAUGUGAACUUAAAAGCACAGAAGGAACUGGCCAGUUAGAGUUCAGAGCUGAAGUGGGAAGAGUCUGUCCAUGAAAGGUGUGGUCUCUGCAGGUGGAAGGGAUGAAGAAGCAGGAACCAUAAGUCAGCAAAGGAAGCUGAUCAGUACAAGGGGAAGAAGCUACUUGGUGUUGAGAGCAGAUGCAGAGAGAGGCAGAGACAGGAGACGAUGAGGCCCAGGAGGGCAUGAUAAUGAUGAGGAAUUGCUGGCCCAUGUGC